GGCGAAGCAACACGCUUCCUGCGCGUCUCUCCUAGGGGCUGAGCCGGGGUGAGGAGGACUCAAAAAGACAUCUAGGUUUUCUCGGUGACCUAUGAUGGAACAGAACCUUCUUCAGAGAAGGGCCCUGGAAGAGGGAUAGUAGCAGAAACAUAAAGGACAGAAAAGGAAGAGCGAGUCAGAAUGAGGUAGUACCUUCCAAGCCUGCCACUCUCUGCAGCCUGAUGGGGAGAUG